AGCUCAGAGACUUGGGCCAAUCACUUGCCCAGAGUCAUAUGGCAAAUAAAUGGCCAGAGUGGGCUGAGUCCGAAGUCCGGGCUGACUCCAAGGUCUGUGGGGUAGAGGGACCUGGGGACCUUUUAGGUGGGUCCCACAACACGCUGCCUUUGACUGGAGGGCUUCAUAGCUGACUUUUGCAACCCAUCUGAGCAAGUGCAAAGAAGCCCCUGCCAUUCCGUUCCUGCCGGGGAGUUGGCUCCAGGUAGCUCCUGGCAGCGGAAGAUUCAUUGGGAGAGGCCUGCCUGGUCCAUCAGCUUUCUUCUCAUUUGGUUUCAGGGGACAGGAGCUCUUUUCUGAGCCUGUUUGUGGGGACGCCUUCAAAGACAAGUCCCUGCUUAGCAACCUCAUCUCACGCAGAACCUCAGGAGAGAGCUCUGGGCUUUGUCUGCACCAGGGCAGUUGUGUGGUUAAUUGUGCCAGUGUGUCCAUUAACUGCCAUCACUGGGGAGUGAAUUAACUUCUGCUUUUCUGGCUGUAUUUUAAAGAGAUUUUUAAAUGCUUUUUUUAGGGGGGGGGAGCCUAUGCACUCUUCAGAAAUUAAAUUUAGACUGUGAUUUUAUUACCCUUUUUAUUUAAUUUAUCCUAACAGUUGCAUUCAAGCUGUGAACCAGCUGUUGACUUUGAAGAAACAUUGUUCAAUUUGAAGGGAACAUUUAAAAACUUAAUGUAACGGCUCUAAGUAAUCACUACAGCAAUUACACUCCCCAGCAUCCGGCAUCAGGAGGGACACGGUAUGGAUUUGGAACAAUGCUCCUAUGGGCAGAGGGACAGUGUGGACAGGAGGCGGAGGCUGUAAAGCUGGGGCAAAGGGGUGGGCUGCCCGCACACCUUGCUUCUCCCUCCAGCCUUGCUGGGGUUGGGCCACGCGGAGGAGAGUUUGCCAGAGGCCCAGGUUAAGCUGAGCACCCGGACCUGCCUGCUUCUUUGGGGUCACUUCACUUCAUCAGAAGACUUUGCUGUUCUCUCUUCCCCUUGCCACAAAGAGGGCAGGAGAAGAGGUUCGAGCCACAGGAAGAAGGUGGCCACCUGCAAACGACGGAGAGAGGCCUCUCCAGACACUGAAGCUGUUGGCUUCUUGCUCUCGGGCUGCCCCGCACCUGAAACCGAGGGAACUAAACGUCUGUGGUUGAAGCCACGCAGUCUGAGAUGUGCACAGCAGCCCACGCAGACCAAGGCAUGUGGCAGAGCUGGCCGGAAGGGAUCCCAUCCAUCUCUGGGGGCGCAGGCCGAAGGCCAUGACCUCCCCCGUCCCAACUCUCCCGUCUGUAGAACAGGGUGGUAACACCCAUUAUAGGACUUUUACAAGGAUCAGAAGGGGUAGAGAGCACAAAGUCCUUACUUCAGAAUCUGCCACACAGGAAACAGCUGUUCAGGGGGACUUCGUUUCGUUGUUACUGGCAGUGUGGUGUUGGGAAAGUUACCUGUGUCUCGAUCUCUCCACCAUGGAAACAGGCAGACAUCAGGCCACCUGUUGCUCGGAACCACCUCAGGAGGGUAAAUCUCAAGAAAGGAUAAGUGUGUCUAAAACACUUAGCACUGGGCCUUUCACAUGGGAGACGCCGUCACUGUAGUUUGCAUCUAUAGUGUCCCCAGAAGCCCACGUGUUGAAGCCUGGUCCCAGCCCAUGGCACAAUUGGGAGAGGGUAUAACUUUAAGAGGUUGGGCUAUGAUGUCACUGGAGGUGGGGCUCUAGGGCCUUUUCCCUUUCCUCUUCUUUUUGCUUCAGGGUCCCACCUGAGCUGUUCUGCCCUGCCAUGCAUUCCCCCCCAGAAUUUGCACCCUGGGUCAACUGGAGCCCAAAACAACCUUGUUCUCUUCAUAAGUUGAUUAUAAAUUAAUUAUUUCAGUUUUCUUUUUUGUACUUGGGCUCGAACCCUGCAGAGCUACAUUCAUAGCCCUUUUCUUUAUCUUGAGACGAAGUCUCGUUGAGACACUAAGUUGCCCAGGCUGAGCUUUAAUCUGCAAUCUUCCUGUCUCAUCCUCCACAGUGCAGUAAUUACAGGCAGGCACUAACAAGUCCAGCUCCUUGCUUUUUGUUAUUAACAGUCGAGGUGAUUACGG
ensembl:lncRNA